CUGUAAGAAAAAUUUGAACAUAUUAACGUUACCCUUUCCUAUACGUCAUAUCCGCGAUAUCUACGUCAUCUACGUGAUAUUUGCUACAAGCUUUUACAUACGCGCCAAUUUUAAAUUUUAUUGAAAUUAUUUUGCCCUUUUCGCGUCUUCUGCAAACAAAUUCUUUCGUAUUUCUUUAAAUUUCUCUAGAAAAUAUCAAGUACAACAUUGUAGCUGUCUAAAACAUGCAUGAAAAGCACCAAAUUUUCAUUGCCUAAUCAUCUAAUCGUCCGUACUUGAAAUGUUCAGUUCAAACGGAUCACUGUUUCGCGCGCGCGCGCUUACGUGGCCCGCGAGGCCGCCAUGACACUUUCAUGGAGCGCGUCGGUUGAGAACAUGUACGAGCGCGGAUGCUCCUCGUUUUUGCUCGUUUUAUCGCGGAAAAAGUGUGUGACAAACGGAAAUUCUUGUCGGGAGUGGUGACUAGAGUGAUGGGCGAUCACGGGGAAGUGUGGAUUCCCGCGGAUGUGCACGAUGGACUUGGAUAUUCGCAAUCGACGUUGCGUCGUAGCAUAUCGUUGUAGCAGUAUUCCUGAUGAAACUAAUGCGGAGUAUUUCUAAAACGGAAUUUGCAACCAGUGGAGCAACCGGUGAAGCAAAUUAUACAAUACCCUAGCUGGUAUAUCUGAAGAUAUAUUUAGCUAGGGUACAACGACUAGUGAGUAAAUUAAUAUUUUUUAUACGUACAUAUAACAAUAUUGAUAUCAUCUGCUGUCUUUUUAUUUGCUAUUAUUUGUGUUAUAAUUAUUGAAAACCAUGCUUUGACAAUCAUCUUUUUAUUUUGAAUUUGCAUUUCUGUGAGUAAAUAAUAAAAUACAAAAUAUUUUUUUCUUGUUUUAACAAAAAGAAUUUCAAAUUUUGCACACAUUUUAUUUAAUAAAUCACGAAAUUAUGCAAUGUAGACAAUUUAGAUUAUAUAACAUGUAUGUAGAAAAUAAAAUUCUCUGCGGAUGCAGAUGAAACAAUGUAUUUAUUGGAAAUAAAAAUACUGUGAAUAUCAUAUUUAUUGUAACUGUAACGUAUAUGAAUGUUUUUUAUUCAUUUUUAUUAAAUAAAUUUAUAUAAAAUAGCACAAUGUUUUUACAAAUGAGCGAUUGUCAAAGUACGGUUUCAAAUGCUGUUACGACGAUGAUGCGGUAAAAAAACUAUGAUUAUUGAUACAAUGCUUAUACAGCGAUUGGUAUAAUCAACUCGCUUUUAUGGUGCACGUUUCGUCAAACGGUUCUCUGUUCUUUCGUCAGGCAUCGUAAAGUUUGAAGGCCUUUUAAACACGACGCGUUUCACGAAAAGAAACUUUCUUGCACAGUCGAGAAAAAAGUAUCGAUACAUUAUAGCUUUUCUUACUGCAGUUUCGUUAUAUAACUUUUAUAAUUACAUGAAAAUUCUUUAAACUUAUUUUAUUUUAACAGGUUGAGAAAAUUAGUCAAAUUAGCUCUAUUAAAACUAUGUAGCUGUAAUUUUUAUGACGAUUAAUUAAAAAUUGUUUAAAAUGCGUUAAAAAACGUUUCGGUAAAUCCUACAAAUAAUAUUCUCAAUUUUAUAGUAAAUACUAUUUUUGUCUUAGAGUUUUUUACAAUUAAUAAUUUGCAUUACAUAAUCAGAAUUUAUUAAUAUUAGAGAAAUAUAUAUUAUUUUCAAUAUUGUAGAAAUACACGUGAUGUAUUAGAACUUUUCACUCUGUUUAAUAUUAGCCGUUUAGCGCAAAAUUAUGCUACGUGAUUCGAAACUGUUCUUUCAAUACGGAAAAGUAUAUAAGCGGUACAGAGAUAGGAAAAAGUAGCACUCAAUAAUCGAGAGGACGACCGAUUGGUGAUUUACUUGGUCGACUUGGAAAUACGGUUUACCGCAGUAACUAUGGACAGGGAUGGACGAGAGGGAUGGUGGGACAAGGGAAAGGAUACUUUGGAAUGGUAAUGAUAAUGGUAAUGGUGCCAGGGCAGAAUGUUGGAAACGGAUUAUACGAGUAUCCUUUUCUUGUCCGAUACUUUCUUCAACGUCAUCUUUGCCCGAGUCCAUUUACAGUUAAGGACAGGACGGGGAUGAAAUCAAGUAUCCCGACUUUUGUCUCUCACGGUCAUUGACAUUUAACAUUCGAAAUCUGUGACCUGUUGUCACUGUCGUUAGUUGAUUCUUGAUUUCGCAGUCGGUUGUCACAUUCUCAAAUCAAUCAGCGAUGAUAUCAAUAUUUUCCUGCUUACAAUACAUAUUUAUGUUUUUAUAUGUAAUCAUUUAAAUAUCGUACUUAAUCUUUUUAGCACAAAGCAUGAAUAUUAUAAAUAAAAGAUAAUUUCUUAAGAUUAUGGAGUUUUUUAAAUAAUUUCU